UUUUACUUAGCUUAAAUUAAAAGCAUUAGCCUUUUAAGCUAAUAAUUCAAAUUAUUGAAGUGGUUC
rnacentral:tRNA from 1 species